rnacentral:lncRNA from 1 species
AACAUCAAAACAUUACUUUAAGCCUCGAAUCUGAUAAAUACAUGUUCUCUUCCCAAUAUAGCCAACUGUGACAAGAAAAGGUAUACUAUAAGGCUUUCGGUAACAAGGUUGAAAUAUAAGUUGUCCUUAAUUUGAAGGUAUUGAUUGACAACGUUACAAAUGAUAAAGUGAUCACAUGAAUAAGGUACUAUGGAUGGAACAAUGCCUUCAGUCCUGCACCAGUGUGGAAAUUAAGUAAUGCUUGAAGAUAAAGGAUAAGAGGUUACCAACUCCUGUGUAAUAAAUACAAACGGUACAAAAGAAAUUUCAAAUAUCUGAACUUAAUCUUAAACCUCCUAAAUUUUUUAAUCAUUUGGGUCAAAUUCUCCUGUACCUUCCUGUAAUACCCUGUUCUGUUCACCUAGUAUCAAUUCUGAAAAGUUUUUUUUAAAAAAUUAAAUAACUCUAAAUAAAUAAAGCAUAAUUUUCUUUUAAAUAACUUUAGUUACAUUUUAUUCAAGAAGAGAAUAGUUUUAUCACUUAAUCAUUUGAAUAUACAUAAGAAUAGUUUUAUCACUUAAUCAUUUGAAUAUACUUAAUCAUUUGAAUAUAUGUGGGAAGAUUGACGAAAAGAUUUGUUAUAUUUGAUAUUUUCUAAAGAUAAUUAUUUUUUACUUUUACAAUUCAGUUUUGCACUUCAGUUCCAUACCUACUUUACAAUUUUAUUAUUCUUUAUUCACAAUGUUUAAGAGAGUAGUUUCGUCAUUUAUCAUUUGAGCAUGUGAGAAGAAUGUUGCCCAACGUUUAGUUCAAUAAAAGAUUUAUUGCAUUUGACGUUUACUUAAGAUAAAAAAAAUUAGCUUUGUAAUCCAAUUUUUCACUUUGUUGAUUUUGUAGCUUCCAAAAAAUAAAAUAAAAAACUAACCGAAACACAAUCCCUACAAAACUUAUCUCAAUCAUCAACAUUUACCACCAACCACCACAAACAAUCAGCAUCACUUGAAAAUGAAAAAAAAAUAUACAUACUCUCCACCAUACUCAAAAGUUUAUUAUUGAAAUUGAGAAAAAAAAAAUGAAGGUGUGAAAGAAGGUAGAGUUGUAGGGAGAAUUUAGCUCAUUUGGUAUGACUAUUUCUUUCCUUUCUUAUGUUAUAAGGUUUUAAUACCUUAAUAGGAGUGUUAAUUUGAAUCAUGUGCUAAUAAUCGGUUACGCAACUCAGCUCCCUUCUUUUGUGAAGUACAUAAUAGACUUAGUAACAAAGUUGAGGAUACACCUUGAUCCAACCCAACCAACCUUUUGAAUUGAGCGAGUGAGUUUAAAAUUUAUGUUGAGAAGUCCAACGAAUAACGUUAAUUGCAACAAAAAAGCCGUAGAAUAGAUUGCGUGUACACUACAGCUCCGGUUACCUCGGAAGUGUUGUAUGAUUUGUGGAACACUCCCUUUCGCUUCUCCACACAUCUUUUUCAUCAGAGCCACGCCAAACUUCAAAAUUUUCACCUCCCCCAUGAACAAAAGGCCAAUCGAAACCAAAGUGUCUCCUAAUAACUGCAAGUAACAAAGUUGCAUAGCUAUUUAAGUGGAAUUAGCUGAUAUUAAAAAGUGAUAAUGAAAUUAAAAUAAGUAGAAAGUUGAAGAUAAUGCAGUAGAAUGAAAGAGACAUGGUUGAGAGAGAUAAAAGCAGGAGAGUGUGGUGUUUGUGGUGAAUCCAGCGAAGGAAUUAAAUGGGGUGUGGAAGUAGAGUGGCUCCUGAAAGCAUAAUAGAGGGUAUUAAAUGCAGCAGCUAAUACCCCCACCCACCUCCUUUGGCCCUCACAACAAACACAUAACACACUUACACUAUUCCCUCCCCUCUCCUUUCACAAAUGGAGAAUUUCCCAACUCAUCCUUCUUCUUCUUCUUCUUCUUUUUCUUUUUCUUCUUCUUUUUCACCUUCUUCUCUUCAAUG